AAAGCUGCGGUUGCUGCUCAACCAGGCUCAAAGAGGAUUACCAUUUCACUUUUGGAUCUGUUUUCUGCCCUUCUAAACUCCUACCAUAGUCUUGGCCUGAACUGGAGUUGAACCGAGUCUCCUGGGUUCUUUAGCUGGACAGAUCGUUAGUUGGAUGACCCAUCAGGAAAGACGAAAACCAGCUAAGGGGAAACAAAGAAGUGCCUGAACAGAGGACAGCAUCCACUUAAACCAGAAGGUACAAGUCCAGAGAGCAUAAUGGCUUGUUGUGUUGUCUGAUGAUCUUUUUUAGGGGAUGCUUUUCCAAGCUCCUCAGAGAAAGCAGUCUGCCCUCACUGUUGUUACAAAAAGGAUAAAGAAGCAAAUGUCAAAUAAAAUAAAAAUUAUGUAUUUUUGUAUGUAUUUUUGUAUUGAGGUGGAUAAGCAAUAAGAUGAUACCUGGAUGAUACACUAUAAAAAUAUGUUUUAUUGUCCUAUUAAAUUCACAAAUGUCCUUUAAAUAAAGGUAUACUAAGUGGACUGAGGUAUACCUUAGUCCACUGGUUUUCAAACUUGGUAUAACAAGUUUUACACAUGCCACCAUACUGCCAGACAUUUUAAAACAAUAAAACUGGACUAUCAUGUUUCUCA